GGAGGAAACUCUGAUGCAGCGAUGCCGCGUGAGUGAAGAAGGCCUUUGGGUUGUAAAGCUCUUUUGUAGGAGAAGAUAAUGACUGUACCCUAAGAAUAAGGUCCGGCUAACUUCGUGCCAGCAGCCGCGGUAAUACGAAGGGACCUAGCGUAGUUCGGAAUUACUGGGCGUAAAGCGCGCGUAGGCCGUUGAGUUAGUUAAUUGUGAAAUCCCAAAGCUUAACUUUGGAACUGCAAUUAAAACUGCUCGACUAGAGUUUGAUAGAGGAAAGCGGAAUACAUAGUGUAGAGGUGAAAUUCGUAGAUAUUAUGUAGAACACCAGUUGCGAAGGCGGCUUUCUGAUCAACACUGACGCUGAGGCGCGAAAGUAUGGGUAGCAAAGAGGAUUAGAUACCCUCGUAGUCCAUACCAUAAACGAUGAUUGCUAGAUGUUGGAAAUUUAUUUUCAGUAUCGCAGCUAACGCAUUAAGCAAUCCGCCUGGGGAGUACGACCGCAAGGUUAAAACUCAAAGGAAUUGACGGGGA
rnacentral:rRNA from 1 species